UACGUAGGGUGCAAGCGUUUGUCCGGAAUUAUUGGGCGUAAAGCGCACGUAGGCGGUUCGUUAAGUCGGAUGUGAAAGCCCUCGGCUCAACUGAGGAAGUGCACCCGAAACUGGCGAGCUUGAGUACGAAAGAGGAUCGCGGAAUUCCCGGUGUAGAGGUGAAAUUCGUAGAUAUCGGGAGGAACACCGGUGGCGAAGGCGGCGAUCUGGGUCGAUACUGACGCUGAGGUGCGAAAGCGUGGGGAGCAAACAGG
rnacentral:rRNA from 1 species